GGGGUAAAAUUAAUAAUUUAGUAAAUAAUAAAAAAAAUUUUAAUAUUAAAAUAAUUUAAUGGGGGUUAAAGUAUUUUAAUAGAAAAAAUUUAAAUUUUUAUAGUGAAAUAGUAUUGUGAAAGAAUUUUGAAAUAUUUUGAAAUUAAAUUUAUUAAAAAGUAAAUUUUAUUUAUUGUAUCUUGGGUAUCAGAGUUUAUUAAAAAUUUUUUAUUGGGGUUAAAUUUCUCGAAUUUAAAAGAGAUAAUUAAUUAAAAAAGUUAUUGUUGUAUAAAUAUUUUUAAUAAUUAAUUUGAAAUGAAAUGUUAAUCGUUUUUAAAUAUAUCUAGUUUUUUUAGAAAAAAAUUUAAUUUUUAAUUUUAGUUUAAAAUUUAUUAAUUAAUUUAAUUUAUUUUAAUAUAAAAUUUUAUAUUUUAAGGGAUAAGCUUUAAAUUAAACUUUUAUAAUAAUUUUUAUUAAUUUAAAAUUUUUAUAAUUUAUAUUGUUAAUAAAUUAUAUUUUAUUAUAAAUAAUUUUAUAAAAUAUAAAAUUUAAUUAUUAUUUAAUUUUUUAUAAAAAAAUAAAUUGUAAUAUUUUAUAUUUAAAUAUUAUGAUAAAAUUAGUAUAUAAAAAAAUAAUAAAUUAAUAAUUAUUAAUUUUAUUUAAAAUUAAUUUAAAGGAAUUCGGCAAAAUUUUAUAUUCACUUGUUUAUCAAAAACAUGUCUUUUUGUAAAUAAUUUAAAGUCUAAUCUGCCCACUGAUAAUAAUUAAAGGGCUGCAGUAUUUUGACUGUACAAAGGUAGCAUAAUCAUUAGUCUCUUAAUUGGUGACUUGUAUGAAGGAUUGGAUGAAAUAUAUACUGUCUUUAAUUUAUAUUAUUGAAUUUAAUUUUUUAGUUAAAAAGCUCAAAUAAAUUAAAAAGACGAGAAGACCCUAUAGAGUUUUAUAAUUUUUAUACAUUAAUUUUAUUUAUAAAUUUUUUUUUAUUUUUAAUUUAUGAAAAUUAUUUUAUUGGGGUGAUAAAAAAAUUAAAUAAACUUUUUUUAAAAAAUUUCAUUAAUAAAUGAAUAAAUGAUCCAAUUUUAUUGAUUAUAAGAUUAAAUUACCUUAGGGAUAACAGCGUAAUUUUUUUUUUUAGUUCAAAUAAAAAAAAAAGUUUGCGACCUCGAUGUUGGAUUAAGAUAAAAUUUAUAUGCAAAAGUAUAAAAUUUUGAUCUGUUCGAUCAUUAAAAUCUUACAUGAUCUGAGUUCAAACCGGUGUAAGCCAGGUUGGUUUCUAUCUUUUAAAAAAAAAAUAUUUUAGUACGAAAGGAUUAAAUAUUUUAAUUAAAUUAUUAGUAAUUGAAUUUUAUUAAUUUUCAUAUAAUUUUUUAUAUUAAAUU
rnacentral:rRNA from 1 species